GUCUCGGAUUAUUGGGCGUAAGGGCUCGCAGGCGGUUUCUUAAGUCUGAUGUGAAAGCCCCCGGCUCAACCGGGGAGGGUCAUUGGAAACUGGGAAACUUGAGUGCAGAAGAGGAGAGUGGAAUUCCACGUGUAGCGGUGAAAUGCGUAGAGAUGUGGAGGAACACCAGUGGCGAAGGCGACUCUCUGGUCUGUAACUGACGCUGAGGAGCGAAAGCGUGGGGAGCGAACAGGAUUAGAUACCCUGGUAGUCCACGCCGUAAACGAUGAGUGCUAAGUGUUAGGGGGUUUCCGCCCCUUAGUGCUGCAGCUAACGCAUUAAGCACUCCGCCUGGGGAGUACGGUCGCAAGACUGAAACUCAAAGGAAUUGACGG
rnacentral:rRNA from 1 species